AUGAAGCCCAAAGCGAGAGGGAGUUUUCGGUUUUAUCGCCUCGAGAGAUCGGGAUCCCUUCUUUCAGACUAACCUAGAGCCAGUCCGCUGAAAGAAGCAUAAAUGCCAUUAAGGUAGCUCUGACAUCGACCUUUCCUUUGGAAAUUCCUGUUGGAGAUCAAUUUAAAAAAUGUGGCGCUUAGUAACACAAGACGGAACUUGAGUACCCGUGGUGAACCGCCAGAAUGAUUCUUCUACCUUAAAUACCUUCAAAAGAAAGGAAGAGUAAAUACAGGAAUCACGUGAAAUGUUGCAAAUGCGGUCUUGGACCUCAGUAAGAAGAUCUCUAUCACGUUAUCAUUGACUCCUGAGAAGCUGUAUAAUUCGGUCAAUGAACUCAAGAAAAAGCUCGAAUUGAAAUUCACUUGGACCAACCAUGAUCGUAUUUAUUUCAAGCAAGGAAAGAAUACGAAAACUUCCAUGCACGCCAGAGGAUUUUAAGAACUUCACGAAGAAGUUGGAGAGGAUUUCAUGGAUGAAUUUUUGAUGUUGAUCCGAAAACUCACAAUUAAAGUCAGCCGACAUUACAACUUCACUCCGAUUUAAGUGUGUAUUUUAGAAAUGGGCACAACCGCUAGAUUUUGUACCCUGAAGGCUCAAUUUAUUCAUUCGGAGUUGCCUUCGAGAGUGCUUGUUUUCACUCGGUUAAAAUAAGGUGAGGGUAUGUGGCAGAAGACUCAGAAGCGAAUUCAAAGGUAUGGAACAAUGGCUUAAUUAUAAGAUGUCCUGGGCCGCAAAGGUUUAAACGUAUCCUUUUGUUCUAAAUGUGUCAAUGAAACGGCAGAGAAUUAUUGCACAUAUUGUGUUGGAAGUUUAUAGAUUUCAGUCUUUCGCGAAACCUCUUCGACUUGGAUACGUAUUUUUUAAAGCGGAGAGUUUUGAGAGUUUCAAAAAGAGAUCUUGAACGAGAAAUUUCGAUCACUGUAGACCGAGACUGGAUUUUUUUUCUUUUGAAGUUUUCUAAGUACACCCAGAACAAAGAGCAGCGACUCGUCGAUCUUGAAGAAUUUUUCUCGCCUAUCAGGAUCGGCUUAAAGAGUUAUCCAUUCAUUCAAUCAAAAUAGUUAUUCGUUUCUUCAGAGCAAUCAAACUAUGCAAGCGUUUCUACAAAUUAUUUCAUGGAAUUAUUACCUCUGCAAGUUUUGAUCAAUCGAUGUCACCUCUUGUUUUGAUUUUAGAUAUUUCUGGUCUCACGGGUUGUCUUGCAAAUCGUGGUGAACCCACCAAUGAGGUUUCGGUGUACGCUGUUAUUUCGGGCCCUGGGUCCACGUAACUAAAACGCAAGGUUUCGUUUAACGUCUUUAACCAAAAAAAUAAAGCUGAAAGCGGACAAAAACGUGAAAAAAGUGAAAUGACACUUUUAUAAGUCUAUGUCAUUCUUUGAAUGCAUUCACCGCUUGUUGUUUACAUUUUGAAGAGAGUCGUUCGCUCUUGUUUGCAGAGCGCAGUUUUUAAGAAUACCGAAUGAAUAAAUUGAGUUCUAAAAAAGAAAAUAUUUGCUCGCGAAUAGGAUUUUUAUGCUUUUUUUCCCCGAUUAUUAAUGUUCUAUUAUUGUGAUAAUUGCUGAUAUAUGUUAGUCACGUGUAGAGAGCGUUACAUGACAAUGCAAGAUGCGUGACAGGCCUGGUUAAGGGGUGCGAGUAUUGCAAUGUAUUGACCCCCAACCUUUUUUGGAGUCUAAUACUCGUGACAGAAUUCACAGAGUCAUUCACUUCAGAUUUCUUCGCAAGUGACACGUUUGUUUGUACCCCACCUCCUCCCCUUAUUCCAGCCACAUGUCUUUGUUUUAGCUCAAUUAAUAGUUGAUUUUGUUGGCGUUGUUUUUCAGCCCUCACCUUUACUGGGCAAGCUAUUUUUCCCAGAUUCAAAUAUUUUGGGUAAUAAUUGAUUCAGUUUUGAUUACUGAUUAAACCGGCUUUGGGCCUUUGCCCUCAGCCAUUUUUACUCCAGAUCAAUGUGUUUGUGUGAUUUUUAUGUGCCCAGUAAACGAGCCCGGGAGAUGCAGCCCAGUAUUUUAGUUACUUAGCAAGCUGGAUAGGGGGAAAAAGCAUAAAUACCCUCGCAGAAAUGCGUUAAACCCUAAUUAUUUUCAAGGCAAGGGAGUAUAGAAUAAAUAAAUAAAUAACACUGGAGAUCAGGUAUUUAUCAGCUAUAAUCAACUUCAAAUUAAUCAGAAAUACCGAGUACUUUUUUAGAGUAGAAUUUACAUAACUUGCCUUUAUACUUUACUUGCGGUUCUUUACGCGUCACUAAAUUUACUUCAUUUACAACUUGACUGGUUUUUUUUAGUACCCUACGACUGAGCUAGGGGAAUUAAGUGGAUUAUAUAAAGCCGGGUGGUGUGCGCACUCCGAUUGCGUUUUGCAUAUUUUCAAUAUGGCGGUGAGAGCAGCAAAAAUCGGCAGAUUUUGACUGAACAUUCCGUAAACGUUAGGCCGUUCUUUUUUCCUUUCACCAUGAGUAAAUGUAAUUUGAUUUGUUCUGAAUGUGUAAAAGUAUUUUUUGUACGUAUUUGUCGCGCAUUCUAUAGUUCUUAAGGACAAACGCAAUCAUUGUUUUUCAGUAAGCAAUUUGAGACCGGUUUUCGAAAAGGUCAAAUUUGAUGUACGUCGUAGUUUGGAGCCUUUCAAAGAUUUGGAUGGCCACUUUGAUCCUUCUUCAACAGCUCUGACCAAACGCUCUCAAAAGGUACAUGUGUUUCUCGCAUUUUAAGUGAUAAUGUUUGAGACCGAUUAUGGCCGAGAACAGGCCUAUUGUUGCGUUACAUAGCGUUACUAUCGUAUACUCAAUUGUGUUGUAAAUCUACUUUCCAAGGUAAAAGGAAAUUUAUUAAUGGCGAGUGUUGUAUGGUAAAUCUACUUUCUUGAUCACUGAAUGAAGGACAGAUGAAUAAGAGCAACGAAAGAAGUCACUCGCCAAUAAAUAACAGUCCACAAUGCACACGGCGACACAACGGAUAAGCCGGAAAUCAGAAGGUAGUCGAUGGUUAAAAGGUGUUGAUUGGCUUGUGCGACUCCUGCCAUUCGCUUGCGCUUCUCAAUCUUCUGACCUGAAAGCUUAGCUGUUAUCAAGAUAUCUUUUAAUGAAUUUUGUUUGCGAUGUGAUAAUCGGCUGUGAGUGUAACUGCUGCUAGAUGAGUAGAUUCUUGGGAAAGGCUGCAGUUUCGAUUCUUUCUGAAUCUCUUUAGUUGCCUCCUAAUAACGAAUAUGUCAUGGAGGAAUAACACUUUUUAACUUUCGAAGGAACGGAAAUCGAAAAAAAAGAAGAGCAAAGAAUGAUUUAUCUUGCUAAGGACAUGAAGGAGAUGACACUAAGUCAUAACAAGAAAAGGAAGAGGAAAAAGGAGUAAGUAAUGAAGAAGAAACAUUGGAAAAUGGAGAUAAAGGAGGGAAAGGAGGAAUACCAGCUGGAGUAGUAGAAAAAGAACAUGAGGAAAUGAAAGGAGAGAGAGAAAUUAAAGAAAAAGAACAAGGUACACAGAAAAGAAGGAGGGACAGGAGGACAACAGCCAAAAGAAAGAAGGCAAAAAAGGACCCUUCAACAUAAGAGAAAUUUGGAUUGUGAUGGCACCUGGAAUUGAGAACGACGAAAAUGGCAGACUUCAUAUUAGUUAAUUUAUUAUUCACCUCCUCAACUUGUAUUAAUUUCAUGAGCAGGUCAUAAAAUGUUCAAUUCAGUUUAGAAAAAAGUGAACUAGCAUUUUUAUAAUGUCUAAUUGUACAGCCCAAAAUGUCUUCCUUGUGUUUUUUUGUCAUGACUGCCAAUUAAAGAUAUGGCUUUUGCAGUCUAUGAAGAGGGCUAGGUCAAGCCGUUUAAAAACCAGGGUUAGAUCAACAAGCAUUGAUUAUUUUGUUAAAAGUGAACUGUUGCAGUUGUUUAAUGGCUUUUUGGUGGAUCUAUUAACACAUUAAUAACUGGAUUGAACAUUUUAAGACCUUUUAAUAGUGGAAACCUCUUUGCUCUCAACUAUCAAACUAAUUCCUGAAAAUUACUCACUUUUCAAAAAAUUGGCAAAUCUUUCUUCAUCUAGCUAACAUUUAAUCAAUCUGGAUUCACAAAUACAUUUCUCUCACUGGUAUCAAUAAUAUCGCAGUGUGAUUGUGUUAUGUAAUAUCUGAAUAGAAUGAGUGAAACAAACACAGUUUGAACUGUAUGUUUAUUUUAUAUUUAAAAAUUUAGCUUCUUUUAACAAUUACAGUAGCCCGCCACACUUUCUUAAUUUCGUGAAAUGUCGUCAAUUAACCAUGGUAUCUGAUGACUGAUGCAUAUGUCCAGUAUAGUUAAUAUUAUUCUUCUUAAUAUUUGAUUGCAAGGGAUGAACAUACAUUACUUUUCAGACUUUUUUUGUCAUAUUCUCCAAAAGAUUUUCAUAUUUCAUUAGAGUUCUGUUCCUUUUCCUCGUUACAAAAGACCAAUUAAAA